rnacentral:rRNA from 1 species
AGAAUCAACGCUGGCGGCGUGCCUAACACAUGCAAGUCGCACGAGAAAGGGGAGCAAUCCCUGAGUAAAGUGGCGCACGGGUGAGUAACACGUGAAUCAUCUACCUUCGAGUGGGGAAUAACUGGAAGAAAUUUCAGCUAAUACCGCAUAAUACCUACGGGUCAAAGCAGUAAUGCGCUUGAAGAGGAGUUCGCGGCAGAUUAGUUAGUUGGCGGGGUAAUGGCCCACCAAGGCGAUGAUCGGUA